rnacentral:misc_RNA from 1 species
AAGUCGUAACAAGGUCUCCGUAGGUGAACCUGCGGAGGGAUCAUUACCAGAGAUGGCGGGCUCCGGCCCCCGUCCCCAACCCUUUGUCGACCAAUACCUUUUGCCUCGGGGGCAGAGCGGCCGCGAGGUCUCGCCGCCCCCGGUGGACCACUUAACUCUGUCUCUUUACGUCGGAGUCUCAGAUAAAUAAAUCAAAACUUUCAACAACGGAUCUCUUGGUUCUG